rnacentral:rRNA from 1 species
GAUGAACGCUGGCGGCGUGCCUAAUACAUGCAAGUCGAGCGAACAGACGAGGAGCUUGCUCCUCUGACGUUAGCGGCGGACGGGUGAGUAACACGUGGAUAACCUACCUAUAAGACUGGUAUAACUUCGGGAAACCGGAGCUAAUACCGGAUAAUAUAUUGAACCGCAUGGUUCAAUAGUGAAAGACGGUUUUGCUGUCACUUAUAGAUGGAUCCGCGCCGCAUUAGCUAGUUGGUAAGGUAACGGCUUACCAAGGCAACGAUGCGUAGCCGACCUGAGAGGUGGAUCGGCCACCCUGGAACUGAGACACGCUCCAGACUCCUACGGGAGGCAGCAGUAGGGAAUCUUCCGCAAUGGUCGAAAGCUUGGCGGAACAACGCCGCGUGAGUGAUGAAGGUCUUCGGAUCGUAAAACUCUGUUAUUAGGGAAGACCAAAUGUGUAAGUAACUAUGCACGUCUUGACGGUACCUAAUCAGAAAGCCACGGCUAACUACGUG